rnacentral:misc_RNA from 1 species
GAUGAAGAACGUAGCGAAAUGCGAUACGUAAUGUGAAUUGCAGAAUUCAGUGAAUCAUCGAAUCUUUGAACGCAUAUUGCGCUCUCUGGUAUUCCGGAGAGCAUGCUUGUUUGAGUAUCAGUAAACACCUCAACUUCCAUAUCUUUUUUGAAAUGGGAGUUGGACUUGAGUGAUCCCAACGCUUUUCCUCACCGAAAAGUGGCGGGUUACUUGAAAUGCAGGUGCAGCUGGACUUUUCUCUGAGCUAUAAGCAUAUCUAUUUAGUCUGCCUAAAAAACAGAUUAUUACCUUUGCUGCAGCUAACAUAAAGGAGAUUAGUUCUUGUGCUGACUGAUGCAGGAUUCACAAAGACAGCCUCGGCCGACUUUGUAAACUCGAUCUCAAAUCAAGUAAGACUACCCGCUGAACUUAAGCAUAUCAAUAAGCGGAGGA